GUACCCAACUGUACCAACUUCACCUCCUACCAAGUGACCUCUGACAUAUUGGCACCCAUCAAUGAGACCAUCGAAGAUCCCCAAAUGAUAAAUGUCUCUCUUCCCACUGACCAGAUAAUCAACAUCUCUAUGACACUUACUUCGAUCAUGGGUGUGCGCCUCAUAUUCAAGGACAUGCUAAUCAGAACAACUGAUGUUCAAGAUUUGAGUGUGGACGUUUGCCCUGAAGGAGCAUUGAGUAUAUUGAAGGUACCAUCUCUCCCGGAGCUCUUGUCUGUGUGAUAGGUGUAUUGUCUGACAACUCAUUGGACUUAGAAAGCAUAAGACUACUGCCAAUUCGACGGAAUAUAAGUGACCAUUUUACCAUCCCUGUGGCUGUUAGUGGAAAUUACAGUGUGGUUGCAUUUGACCUUGAGAACAACAAUAUGAGUGUACCAAGAAUUCCCAUGUCUGUGGCGGCUGACGAUGAAACUAUGUUUUUGAGUAAUGAAUCUUCCACUGAACCAAAUUCUCCACCUAAUUCUGAGGGCAUCACUGUCACUAAACUAUCAAAUGGAAGACUUUAGUGCUGAAGUGACCUGCAAUACCUCUGGCCAGAGUUGUCUAGCAUUGUUUCAAUCUCUUGAUCAGAUGGUGAUGAUUGGUUUUAUUGAACCACCUAAUGACAGAACUGUUGUCACUCUUAGUACCACUUCCGAUGUUUAUAUGGUAGUGUACACUUGGAACAGUGAUUCUGGUGAGACCAUCUUUGAUGGGAAGGUAUCCUUCAUUAGUCAAUUAGAGCUACCAACUGCUCCUCCCCCUACACAAUCACCUCCUGAUACUACUGGAUCUCCAGUUCCAUCGCCCAUGAUAGUACUAAUAGCAGGUAUCAUAACCGUGGUCGUGGUACUGCUUCUCCUGGUAGUCACCAUAGCUAUUGUUGUAGCCGUGGUUAUUGUGAAGAGA